ACUUCACGUUGGAGAACUCUGCACAAGACUGGGUACAACAGCGGGAAGGUGGUGUUUUGUCCAAUACAGCGUCUUCCAAGGUUUACUCUUCCAGUUUGGUAGAUGUGGAGAGGGAUUAUUUGUCGAUAGAUAAAAGAUAUCCUAGACUCUUUGUGUCCCCAGAAUUUUCCAAGGUUUUGUGAACUGGCCAAAGGAGAAUCUUAAACUUCCAAUCCAUUCACCUGUCAGUUUUGAGCAUGAUUUUGUUGAGGAAGAGAAGCUAACUGUGAAAGGUUCGUCUGCUGAGCUUUUGGCUGAAGAAACCACAAAAUCUGGAAAUAUGGUGUGGAAUGCAAAGGAAAAUGACGAGAAAGAAAAUUCAGAUAAAGAGGAUCGACAACACCACAGCACAGCAGAAAUAGAGCAAAAACAUUUCAGAAGCUGUCGAAGAUUGAUGGAAAAGCUAGCUAAACCCAUAUAGAAAAACUUUCACUUGUAAAUUUAUAUUCCAUUGUGAUAUAUUGGAUGGUUUUAUGUAAAACUUAAAACAAUGGUAGUGCAGUGGUUAAGCUUCAAAUAUGUACUUUGAGGUUAUAUGAAUGAUGUUUCAAACAAAAACUGAAUUUCUCCAAAUAUAGUAUUUUUUGGUUUA